rnacentral:rRNA from 1 species
AUACGUAGGGGGCUAGCGUUGUCCGGAUUUACUGGGCGUAAAGGGUGCGUAGGCGGCGCGGUAAGUCGGGUGUGACAUCUCGGAGCUUAACUCCGAAACUGCAUUCGAUACUGCCGUGCUUGAGGACUGGAGAGGAGACUGGCAUUUACGGUGUAGCGGUGAAAUGCGUAGAUAUCGUAAGGAAGACCAGUGGCGAAGGCGGGUCUCUGGACAGUUCCUGACGCUGAGGCACGAAGGCCAGGGGAGCAAACGGGAUUAGAUACCCCGGUAGUCCUGGCAGUAAACGGUGCACGUUUGGUGUGGGAGGAUUCGACCCCUUCUGCGCCGGAGCUAACGCGUUAAACGUGCCGCCUGGGGAGUACGGUCGCAAGAUUAAAACUCAAAUGAAUUGACGGGG